GGUUGAUCCUGCCAGUAACAUAUGCUUGCGUUAAGGACUAAGCCAUGCAGGUGCAAGUCCGAGAGGGCGCCCGCAAGGGCCAACAACUCCAUACUGCGGAUGGCUCAUUAUAACGGUGGUAAUGGACGCGCUAGACGCGGCGGCGGCGGGGGCAACCCCGCUCCGUCGACACGGAUAACCUCUGGUAACUCCGAGGCUAAUACGAGCUACCGACACCCUGUCUCCGGCAGGGUGGCCCUUAUCCGCCCCCGAAGCUGUCGCUUAGCCGCGGCGGCGUGGGGCGUCUCUUCCC
rnacentral:rRNA from 1 species